GGACAAUUACUCAAGCGGUUCAAGAGGAUCGUCUCGAAAACGAUUAGUACCUUAAUAGGUAGCAUUGGUUCGAAUCCAAUAUUGUCCGCCA
rnacentral:tRNA from 1 species